GAGACGGCGGGGUAGAGGCCCGCCGCGGUAACGACGGGUAACGGGGAAUCAGGGUUCGAUUCCGGAGAGGGAGCCCGAGAAACGGCUACCACUUCCAAGGAAGGCAGCAGGCGCGCAACUUACCCUAAUCUCGAUUCGAGGAGGUAGUGACAAGAAAUACCGAUGCGGGACCCUACGGGUGCCGCGUUCGGAAUGAGUACGAUUCGAACCACCUAACGAGGAACGAUCGGAGGGCAAGUCUGGUGCCAGCAGCCGCGGUAAUUCCAGCUCCAAUAGCGUACGUUAAAGUUGCUGCAGUUAAAAAGCUCGUAGUUGAACGUUCGGGUUCCGCGGGACGGGGCCGCCCCGCGAGGGACGGCGCCGCCCCGGGCUCGUGAUAUCUCAUCUCGCCGCCCGUCGCGAGGCGGACGGAGGGAUGGAUGA
rnacentral:rRNA from 1 species